rnacentral:lncRNA from 1 species
UGGCUGCCUCCCUUCCUUGUCAAAGCCCUGUACAUGUUGCCCAUUUGCUUGGGUCCUAGCAGGCCCUGAGGCCAAGGGAGCCUGGGAAGGAGCUACCCUGGGAAGGAGCUCUCCUUGGGGAGUGACUGACAGGUUGUCAGGCAGCAGACUCUUGGAUGGGAACUUGGCUCUCAGGGCAGAUCAGACAGCAGCUGAGAUCCCAGGAUGAAUGGGCCCUUGUGAUGGUAAUGGGUGCUCUGAGGCUGCCUCAUCUGCCUCUGCUCUGUCUCUUCUGCACACCCCCAACCUCCAUCUUGCCUUCUUGUCCUCUCCCUGUUUACUGGCCAGUGAUGUGGUGGGUGGAAGAGCCAGUAAAUCCAUCAGGCGGGGGAGGCAGGAAGACUUGGACCAUCAGUUCAUGAAUCAGCCCAGCUCUGGGGCUCCUGUCAGUCGAACACAGCACAGCAGCAUCUGGAGUUGGUGCUCCAGGGGCACUGUGGUAGGGAAGGAGAAGGCACCUCCAGGACCAGACAGACCUGGCUCAAAUCCUGGCACCUCCACUCACCAGCUCCGUGAUCUUGGGGCCUUCUUGGAUCAUUCAACCAGCAGAUGAAGAAAAAGAGGGCGAAUGGAGAAUUAUAUGUCAGAGAAUUUUAUGGAUCUUACUGGAGGGUAAAUUCAAUCCUGGUAACUUAAUUGUGGGCAAAAGUGCAAAUCUCCUGGCAUCCAAUUCUUACCAUAGAUUUCUGAUGUCUGGAAGCAUGGUGGAGCAACACACUUCUGAAGGGACAGCAGGUGCUGUAGUGAAGUUUUCCACAAAAGAAGAAAAUGUUGUGCUCUUUGUCUACCUCACCAACUUCCCUUCAGCCCUUGGGGAGUGUAGAAGACCUCCAUGUUCAUCAGGGCUCCAUUUUAAGGAGAGAACAGAAGUUGGAGGAUAAGGUGGGAGUUCUGAUUGAUGUGGACCAGAUAAGGUGACAUCUGGCCAAAGAGGAAGCUGGGAGCCACAGACUGCUAAUAGGAUGAAGGGAGACACAGCUACCCCUCUGUGGGGUCAUCAGAGAUGGAGGGGGCUGGCAUAAAGAUGAACAUCUGCGUCCAAAACCAUAUAACUCCAUACACCACAUCAUCUAAUAGGAGACCAACAUAUUGUCAGAGGCCGCCAGCAACAGAGGGAAGCAGGUAAAGCCAGUGUAAGAUCAGGAGCCUUUUUCCACCAAUGACAAACAGCCACUUAUUUAGAGCGAUCUCUGUUAUUCCUCUUAUUUUCCCUUCUUCCCUCAACAUGAAAGGCACUAGACCCAGAAAAGAAAGGAGAAAAUUAGAAGACAAGACCACAACCUUUUACCACCCUUGGUGUUUUUUUUUUCUUUUUUCUUUUUUUUGACAGUCUCACUCUGUUGCCCAGGUGCUGGAGUGCAGUGGCGUGAUCUCGGCUCACUGCAAACUCCGCCUCCCAGGUUCAAGUGAUUCUUGUGCCUCAGUCUCCCAAGUAGUUGGGACUACAGACAUGCACCACCAUGCCCAGCUAAUUUUGUAUUUUUUUUGUAGUGACAGGGUUUCUCCAUGUCCCCUUCCCACUCUCGUAACUUGAGGUACAAGUCUGGCAAACAUUGAAGCGAGACGAGGAAGUGCUAUUGAAACUGGAUAUGAGAUGGGAGUUGUGAACUAGACCAGACGGGACUUUUGGUAACUGAUAUCGAUGGGAAAGCAAUGGGAUCUACCUGAAAAUAUCAUUAGAAAAUGAUACUGACAGAUAGGACAAAUCAUGGUUAACAGUUGUGGCUAGAGUAAACAAGUUGAACUGUUUAUACCUAUACCGCAAUGGAUUGAGGCUUCUCAAUAAACUGGUUACAUCUGAUCUGCUAACAACAGCUGCUAAACAUUGAAAGGGGUACUGUGCUGACUGCUGUAUACACACUAUGUCAUUUGCUCUUCACAACCUAUAGGAUGGGCACUAGUUUUUCCCCCUUUUGGCAGAUGACAGAAACCGAGGCACAACCAACUUGUCUAAAUAUAGAUUACAGAAAUUUCACAUGUAUCUCUCCAGUUCACAGGAAGUGUCAUUCUCCUUAAUCACUUUGCUCUUAUCCUUGAUGUUUUUCCAAACAUUUUUGCUGAUGUUGAGUGUUUUCCAUUUCUCUGAGCUGUGUUGUCAGUCCAUCUCCUGAUGAAGCAAGGGCAGUUUGAAUGCUGAAUGGAGGUGGAUGAGGAAGGGGAACACUACGUGAAAAUAUUUGUUUUACACAGAUGAAAUGUUGGAUCAGAACGCACGGAACUACAUCCAGCCCUACAGGUAAUUAUGAUUCAGCUUGGUGCAGGGACCUGCGUUUGGAAGCCGCUGCUUCAGAGUGUUCCAGAGAACGGCAGCCUCACGCAAGCAUGAAGCGUUUAACUGUGCAACACAAAUCAACAACCUGGGCUCCUAGAAUUCAGGGUGAGGUUUCACAGAGUGUCAGAGUUGAAAAGGAUCUUGGGGCUCACUGAUGAAGCAUUAGCGACGAGGAGCCUGAGGCCAGAGGGAACGUGCCACGGACAGCCUGAGCUACAGUGCAGGUCUCCUCCCUCCUCCGCAGCACUGCUGACCACGGCUUUCCGUGGUUAUAAUACUGUCACUUCCCCGCUAGCCCAAGGAUCUGAAAAUACUUUUGGGAGGCCGCGAGGAACACAAGGGGAGCAGAUAAUGACAUGGUCCACAACACACUUAAGGAGUUGGCAGAGUUUGGGAUCAGGGGAUUCUGCGCGUGUGUGGAUAAUCAGCAUUCAGGAGAAGGUGUAGUGCACGAACAGAAAUAUCAGCAGUUUGUGGCAUUAAGCCCACAAAUUUCAGGAAGUUGGAUUCCAAACUCUAGGACAUGAGGUCCAAGUCUGCUGGAGUUUGCUGUCGGUCCACUCCAGACCCUGUUUGCCUGGAUAUCACCAGCAGAAGCUACAGAACAGCCAAGAUUGCUGCCCUUUCCUUCCUCUGGAAGCUUUGUCUCACAUGGGCACCCACCAGAUGCCAGCCAGAGCUCUCCCAUAUGAGGUGUCUGUCAACCCCUUCUGGGAGGUGUCUCCCCAUCAGGAGGCACAGGGGUCAGGUACCCACUUGAGGAGGCAAUCUGUCCCUUAGCAGAGCUCAAGUGCUGUGCUUGGAGAUCCACUUCUCUCCUCAGAGCCAGCAGUCAGGAAUGUUUAAGUCUGCUGAAGCUGUGCCCACAGCCAACCUUCCCCCAGGUGCUCUGUUCCAGGGAGAUGAGAGUUUUAUCUAUAAGCCCCUGACAGGGGCUGCUGCCUUUCUUUCAGAGAUGUCCUGCCCAGAGAAGAAGAAUCUAGAGAAGCAGUCUGGCUACAGCGGCUUUGUGGAGCUGCAGUGGGCUCUGCCCAGUUUGAAAUUUCAGGCCGCUUUCUUUAUACUGUGAGGGGAAAACCGUCUACUCAAGCCUCAGUAAUGGUGGAUGCCCUUCUCUGCACCAAGCUCGAGCAUCCCAGGAUGACUUCCGACUGCUGUGCUGGCAGCGAGAAUUUCAAGCCAGUGGAUCUUAGCUUGCUGGGCUCCAUGGAGAUGGGAUCCACUGAGCUAGACCACUUGGCUCCCUGGCAUCAGCCCCAUUUCCAGGCAAGUGAAUGGUUCUCUCUCCCUGGCAUUCCAGGUGCCACUGGGUUAUGAACAAAAACUCCUGCAGCUAGCUUGGUGUCUGCCCAAACAGCCGCCCAGUUUUGUGCUUGAAACCCAGGGCCCUGGUGGCGUAGGCACCUGAGGGAAUCUCCUGGUCUAUGGGUUGUGAAGACCAUGGUAAAAAGGUAGUAUCUCGGCUGGAAAGCACCGCUUCUCAUGGCACAGUCCCUCAUGGCUUCCCUUGGCUAGGGGAGGGAGUUCCCCAACCCCUUGCACUUCCCGGGUGAGGUGAUGCCCCACCCUGCUUCAGCUUGCCCUCUGUGCACCCUCUGUCUAACCAGUCUCAAUGACAUGAGCUGGGUACCUCAGUUAGAAAUGCAGAAAUCACCUACCUUCUGCAAUGAUUUUGAUGGGAGGUGCAGACGAGCUGUUCCUAUUCAGUCAUCUUGCCAGCCACACAUGCCCAUCUUCAUUCCAUUAUUUCAUUUACUCUAAACAUACUUUCAGGCAGUUCUUAAAAUUUACUCCAUUUUAACUAUAAUGAAUCCAUGUAUGAAUGCAUUUGUCUUUUUCUGGCUCUUUCAUAGUGCUUCUUGAAUUGGAUGAUUCUUGUCUUUUUUAAAUUCUGGAAAAUUCUCACACAUUCUAUGUUUAGUUUGACCUCCUUAUUCUUCACAGUCUGUUAUUAUGGAAGUACUAUGCUUAACACGUUGCGUCUCUCUGUUUUCUUCGAUGUUACCAACAAGAUGUCUUAAACUAUCACCACCUGCCCCUACAAAUGUACACAGGUUAGGAUGUUUCAUUUAUCGUUUUCUGCUUGUGAUACAACUUGGCUGUAACAGAAGUUCUUUCAGUGUUGAGGCUCAGAAACUCUCAAAGUUGAUAUUUAGUCCCUGACUAUAAUAAGAUGUGGGAAGAGGGGACAUUUCAAACUCUCCAUGUUGGUCCCUUGCCCCACUCAUUGAGGAAAGUGAAGUCUAUUUUGCAAAAUUAAGGCUGAGUCAGUGAAAGAGAUCUAACAUAACUGCCUCCGUCUUGCUUCUAAAACCCAAACUGUCCUUGUUCAUUCCUGGGCAUAGGCUGAGCUAACUUUGGGAGAAACUUAUUUAUAGUUUAUAGUUUAAAACUAAGAUGAUGAGGUGGGGGGCAGCCCCCGCCCGGCCAGCCCCCCCGUCCGGGAGGUGGGGGGCAGCCCCCGACAGGCCAGCCGCUCCGUCCGGGAGGUGGGGGGCAGCCCCCACCCGGCCAGCCACCCCCUGCGGGAGGUGGGGGGCAGCCCCCGCCCGGCCGCUGCCCUGUCCCGGAGGUGGGGGGCGCCUCUGCCUGGCUGCCCCAUCUGGGAAGUGGGGAGCCCCUCUGCCCGGCCGCCACCCAAUCUGGGAGGUGUACCCAGCAGCUCAUUGAGAAUGGGCCAUGAUGACGAUGGCAGUUUUGUCGAGUAGAAAGGGGGGAAAUGUGGGGAGAAGACAGAGAGAUCGGAUUCUUGUUGUGUCUGUGUGGAAAGAGGUGGAAAUGGGAGACUCCAUUUUGUUCUGUACUAAGAAAAAUUCUUCUGCCUUGGGAUGCUGUUAAUCUAUAACCUUACCCCCAACCCCGUGCCCUCUGAAACAUGUGCUGUGUCCACUAAGGGUUAAAUGGAUUAAGGGCGGUACAAGAUGUGCUUUGUUAAACAGAUGCUUGAAGGCAGCAUACUCCUUAAGAGUCGUCACUACUCCCUAAUCUCAAGUACCCAGGGACGCAAACACUGCGGAAGGCGGCAGGGCCCUCUGCCUAGGAAAACCAGAGACCUUUGUUCACAUGUUUAUCUGCUGACCUUCCCUCCACUAUUGUCCUAUGACCCUGCCAAAUCCCUCUCUCCGAGAAACACCCAAGAAUGAUCAAUAAAUACUAAAAAAAUUAAAAAACAAAAACAAAAAAAACUAAGAUGAUAACAGCCCUUUCCCAAAGCAGGCCUCCUUCUUGCCUGGGGACUAGAUUGCCUCUGUAGGACUAACAUUAGCUACAAGAUUAGAAAUUAUGGCUAAAGGGCAUUGCAGCUUGAGACUACAAGAUUCUUACCCUCCCUAAACUGCUCCUAAGAUCAGUGCUUGAGAUAUUUUGCAGACUCUGCAAAUUUUAGUGCCUUAAUCAAUUAAACUCCAAUUAUAUAUUUAAAAUAUUGAUUAUUUUGAAUGUGUUUUAAAUGCUUAUGUAACAGCAAAAUAUCACAUAUAGAGUGAUUACAAGCUAGUUGUCAUAUUUACCUUUAUGUCUAUUCUAAAAUAAUAAUAAUAAUGCAAGGUAAAAUCAUUUCAUUGUUAUUCUAUACUAGUUUUUAUAUCUAACUAGAUAUAUAAUUUGAUAUAUUCUUAAGGUUGUAUAAUACAUAUUUUAUCACAUUUUCCAGUUUACAACAAUCUUAGAGAAAAUAAAGAGAAAGAAAAAAAUUUGAAAGGCAUAAUGGAAAAUAUCAGAAUAUUUUAUGUUAAAAUCAACAAUACAGCACACAUAACUUGAUGGAACCAUUUGAGAUCCUGAAAAUAAAAAUACCUUUAAAGUACUUCAAAAAAGAAAAUAUGCUUAUAAACUUUAAAUAGAAAAACUAUAUUAUAAAAAACAGCAGAGAAUAUUUCUGCAAGAUAUUAAAUUAAUUAUAUAAAUACUACAUUUUUAAAAGAGUUCUGUAAUUGGCCCAUGAGAAGAGAGUUCAAUGGGGCAGAGUUUGGAAAUGCAAAUCCUUAGGGGAAUUUGGUUUAUGACAAAAAUAACAUCUCGGAUAUCUGAAGAAAGAUGGAUUACUUAAUAAAUAAAAAAACAACUAGGUAUUUUUUGAAAAAAUAAUGUCAGAUUUUAAUCUCAAUUAUUAUAUAAGAAAUCAUUUUGCAUGGGUUAGUUUCAAAAUUUAAAAUAAAUGAAAGAGUCAUUGUUAUAAUCUUGAAAUGUGGUCUGGAAAACUCUUACUAAGAAAACGUAGGACUUGGACACUGUGAAAAGAAGAAACUGUUGAAUUGUACAACAUAAAAAUAAGUCACUAAAUUGAAUUUCAAACUGGUCAAGAAUGUAUAGAAAAGGUAUAACAGAUCAAACACUAAUUCAUUAUAUUCAAAUUUUGGUUCAUUAAAAUUAAAAAUGUCUGCUCUGCAAAAGCUUUUGUUAAGAGAAAAAAAAGACAAGCCACAGACUAAAAAAAAAUUGCAAAAGAUAGCUGAUGAAGGAUUCUAUGCAGAAUAUACAAAUUAACAGUGUAAAAACAAACCGCACAAUUAAAAAUAGACAAAAUAUCUGAACAGAUACUUUAUUAAAGAAGAUAGAUGACAAAUAAAGAUGUUAAAAUGCUCAAAAUCAUAUAUCAUUUAGGAAUUGCAAAUUCAAACAAUGAGAUACUACCCUAAACCUAUUAUAAGUAUGGCUGAAAUCAAAAAUACAAACAAGGACGUGAAGAACAGGAACUCUCAUUCAUUGCUGGUGGGAGUGCAAAAUGGUAUAGGAACUUUGGAAGACAGUUUGACAUUCUUGCAAAGCUGAAUAUAAGCUUACUAUAUAAUCUAGAAAUUGUGCUUCUAAGUAUAACCCAAAUUAGUUGAAAACUUGAUACAAAUGCUUAAAGAGUCUUUUCUAAUACUUGUUAAAAUUGGAAGCAGUCAAGAUGUGCUUCAGUAAGUGAAUGAAUAAACAAACUAUGAUAAGUCCAUACAAUGAACUAUUACUCAGUGAUAGAAAGAAAUGAGUUAUGAAGCCAUUAAAAGACAUGUAGGAAGAUUAAAUACAUAUUACUAAGUGAAAUAAGUCAGUUUGAAAAGGGCACAGACUGUAUGAAUCCAACCGUAUGAAAUUCUGAGUCAGACCUAUAGAGACAGUAAAAAGAGCAGUAAUUGGCCAGGCUUCAGGGGAAGGGAGGGAUGAACAGGUGAAGCACAGGACAUUUUUAUGAUGGUGAAAUUAUAUCCUAUGAUACUAUAACAGUGGAUACAUAGCAUAAUACAUUUAUAUAAUGAAUUUGAGAAUUUCAGAGGCUUAUCAAGGAAAAAGAUAAGCCCACAGGUGGCAGUAGCACACAAAGCUUCUACUUGGACGCUACUUGGACAGGGUUGCAAAAAGAACAGUCCUCACAGCAUAAGGCCUUAUAGAAGCACAGGGGACCACCAUCCAGAACGCAGGAGGACAAAGGAGCUCCCAAGGAUGGGAAGGGAGAUGCUGCAUGUCUAGAUAACAUCACUUCACAGCAUGGUAGGAAGCUGCUGGGUCAGAGGGCUCUGAAGGGCAGCAGCCUGCAGUUUAUGUAACUACAAGAUUUUUCUUAUCUAUGGCCGGCAGAUGUUGGGUGCAGUUUCCCAAGGUGUACAAAGCAGGAAGACAUAAAAUGGCAAAAAAAAUCUGCCUGUUGGAGAUAUAUUUACAACAACUGGAUGCGAAAACAUUUCAGUUUGGCACUGUGGGCUUUUGAGCUAAUGAGUCUCAGCCUGAUUUAAGAAGUAAGCAACAAAGGGCCAAUAUGCAAAGGCCAUCUCUGGCUCAUUUAUAUAACAAUUUGUUAAAUCCUAGAGAAUGGUACAACACAGAGUGUCUAAUGUAAACUUGGACUUUUGUUAAUAAUAAUCUAUCAAUAUUGGUUCAUUAAUUUCAAUAAAUGUAUCACACAAAUGCAAGAGGUUAUCAAAAGGGGAAACUCUGUGGGAGGGGGGCAGGUAGGGAAGAGGGAGUGGGGCUAUGUGGGAACUUUAUAUACCUUCUGCACAAUUUUUCUGUGAACCUAAAACUUCUAUAGAAAAUAAAGUCUAUAAAAAUGUUAAAAGUCAAUGAGGAGAAAAAGGAGAGCGAAAUAAAUGGAAACUUGGGGGAAAUUUUGUAAUUCACAAAAUAAAAUCAAAAGUCAAAACCAAAUAAUUCUGCACAUCCAAAAUAUAACUAACAAGUCCAUUGAAUUAUAAACUGGUCAGAAACACAUGCAACAGUUAUAACAGAUCAAAAAGAGAUUUGUGCAAGUUUAAUGCAAAGGAAAUGUGGAGUAAGGCAUUAAGUAGGCAGUUUAGAGAAAAUGAAUACAAUUUUUUGAGAGGAAAGAAGGCCACCCUAACUCAAUAAACAAGUAAAAUAUUAUCACUGUGAGUUUCUAUUUUUCAUCUGUAAAUUUGGAAAAUACAAAAAACCCUGAAACCUGUAACACCCACCUGACAAACUCACAUAUGCUGUUGGUGGACAUGUACACUGGUAACUAUUUCAGAAUAUUUUUGAUAUCGUAAUAAAAACAGCACAUAGCCUUUGACAAAAUAGUUCUAUUCAUAGAAAUAUUUCCUACAUUCUUACUUACAGAUAUGCUCAAAACAUAUGUACAAGGGUGUUUGUGGCAGCUUUCGUUUUAUUAGCCAAAGACUGGACACUACCCAACUACACAUUGGUAAGAUUUGUACCAUGUAACAAGUAGCUUUUGCCAGAAAUUUUAAAUCUUGUAUGCCACUUAUUGGUUCAGGAUUUUAAUGUAUAUGUCUCUAAAUAAACUAUAUUUAUGUCUGCUUUGCAUUGAUCCCCUUCCACUGCAAAUUUUCAUCACCUAUCGAGGUCCCACCAGCCUAUUGUGUCUUUGCUUAUCUUACUGUACAGAUAACUCACAUGGAUUCCAAUAUGGACCACAAUUUGGACAGCUUCUUCAUUGUAUAAGAUAUAAGUAAAUCAUGUCACCUCAAUACAAAUAUUGAGUUCUUGAGGGCAAAUGUUAGGUCUUCUUCAUUUGUUGUUGUUUUUUUUUUUCUCCCUGGAACCUAAUACAUGAUAAAGACUUGCUGAUUAGAAGUAAUUUUUCCUAACCAUAAGACAGUUCUUAUAGUACAUAUCCUCAUUACAUAACUAUGUAUUAAACCUAAGGAAAAUGCUCAAGAGUUUGUCCCUUUUGUUUGGUCCUUGCUUUUUCUGGCACACUUCAUAUUGCCAAGGCCCGUAAGGGUAAGAGAGAGAGUCAUACCUGAACUUGAUAUUGUCAUCUGGAGGAGAUUCAUAACAACAAAGUAUCUGGAGAAAGAUAGCCCUGUAGUUUCCAUUAUACCUGUGAUAAGAAAUUAGGCAGGUUCAGUGAGAACAGGAUUAAUAUGUCACAGAAAUCACAUAUCUCCACAUCUUCCUGCAGUAAUUAACUCUCAAAUAGAGUUACCAGAUGAAACGUAGAACCCCCAGUUAGAUUUGAAUUUCAGAUCGGCAGUGCAAGUUUUUUGGUAUAAAUAUUUCUUGUGCAUCAUAUAAUUUUUAUUUUCUAAAUCUGGUAACUCUACUUUUAAGAUGUUCAAUAUAAUGACCAAGUCCAGCCAGAGGCUUCUUUCUCAUUAAAGGAUUUCUU